GAAAGUUGAACGCAUUAAUUUACACCCUCAUGUUGGUGUAUCGACAGGGUGGUCCGAAGAAUUUUUGAAACACUUUGUACUGUAGGGUACAAUUGUGAUCUGACUAUAAGGGUGACUGUUACUUGAGGCUUGGUGCUGAGAAGCGUUUUUCCUGUCAGAUUCUUUAUGCGUAGCUGGACUCUCAGUUCCACCAUGCACUGCCCUUGAUGUGACUGUAGCGGGGAUGAGACCCCGUCCAUCUCCUUCUGGAAUGUACAUUUGCCAAGAAGGUCGGAAAUGGAUGCAGUACUCUUUGUUGAAGUUCGUCCUGCACAGCUGUAUGGUCCAGAACAGAUUGGAAAGCCAGCUGUUGACCUGUUAUGGUGGCUGGCAAAUUGAAGGUGACCCAAGUCAUUUCUGAGGAAGGAAUUGAUUCGCACCAUAACCAACCUCUCAAAGCACUUCAUUACGG